rnacentral:rRNA from 1 species
AUCUAAGGCCGCACCACCCUGAACAUGCCUGAUCUUGUCUGCUCUUGGAAGCUAAGCAGGGUUGGGCCUGGUUAGUACUUGGUUAGAAGAGGCAACACUUACUCAAAGUCAGAUAUCUUUGAAG